UUUUUAGUAUAAGUAUGUCCCAAGCAAAAUUUGGGACAUACUUAUACUAAAA
rnacentral:pre_miRNA from 1 species